AGAGAAUCAGAUAGAGAUAACGCUGAGAGACAGACAGAGAGCGAUGACGAACCUUCUCGCCGGCGUCAAUAACACUUGACGACAACGAGUUCAUCAUUGUGGUGGCGGCGAACAUGGUUUUUACCGGAGAGUGACGAGGUAUGUUCGAUCAGUUGCUGCCACAGCUCUGACAAUGACGGCGGUCAAGCGGUUAGGGUUUCGAUCAACUUCCGUAACGUCUGCUGAGGUUCCGGUGAACGGCCAGGAGAAGAUUUCAAUGAACGGGUAAGCACACAACCCUAAUUAUGCGUAUUGCUUCAGUGUGACGUUGAUGAUGUUGUGACGGUGUGGCUGUUAGGGUUUGUUUGCCCUAAUAAGUCGUUCUCGAACCCUAGCUGGAGAUAAGAACCGAUGAUGGACCAAUGAAGAUUGAUAAGGUUUAGUUGGUAAGAGUGGGUCGAAAUGGAAGUUAUGGAGGAGUUCUUCGGUGGAAAUCGAUUCGGGAUGGAAAGGGUUUAAAGGGAAGUACAGGGGAGUGGGAUCGGAUGGGUCGCAUUCGAGAUAAAAUCUCCCGUGCAGAAGAGGCAACAGGUUGAAUGGGAAGUUGCAUGUUCUAUGUAUAUGGCAUUGAUUUGAUCUUUGAAUCAAUGAUGAUUUGCACCACCAGGAACAAUAUAUGCUUUGAAGAUUCUGAGCUUCAACAGCUAAUGCAGGAAUGAACAUAGGUGAAGUGGAAUUUAGAAGACGCAAGUGGUGCCGGUUCGAGGACGGCACCCACUUUUUUACUUCUUUUUGUUUUUUCUACUUCCCUGAUACACGACAGAGAAAGAUAAGGAUAUCAAGAUCACUGCUUUCUGUUGUCUGCCUUCUUUCAAUACUAGAAAAGCCCCAAACUACUCUAUAUAUUUGUUGCCUUUUCCCGAGUUAUUGAUUUUGCUUAUUAAUUACAAGAUAUCGCCCAUACCGAUCCGCUACAUUUGGUUUUCACCAGCAUUUUAGGUAGGUUUUUAUUUCUGGAAAUUGUGGGACACAUGUUUUAGGGUAUAUAUUCCUCUUCUAAACUUGCCACAUAUAUUCAACCUAUGUGCUAGCUACCAUUGUUCAUGGAAUAACGCCGAUAGUUUGGACAAGACAGGGGGUUACGGACAAAGGAGGAAAGGUGAAAAGAAGAGUAAGAACGAUUGAGGAAGUUGAACACAAAUGUUUUUUCGCCUCUCAAGCACCUGUAGGUCCUUCCUGAAACUAUGGUGUUGAAGAAAGGACGACAUGAUGACACAACUAACUAAAGCACCGACAACGCUGUCGAAGAAAGGAAGCUGCAUCCAAGAUCCGCUUAUUGUUUAAUGUAAAAGACUUGAUAUGUAAACACCAAAACUACUUAACUGGACCAUGGGGAAAGUCCUUUUGAUAACAAGUUUCUAAUGUUCCGCCGCUGUAAGGAAAACACAAACGUCUCUCGCGCAAUGCGCGACAUCGAAAACACACUAGUUUGAUUAAA
rnacentral:lncRNA from 1 species